rnacentral:tRNA from 1 species
UCCUGGUUAGCUCAGUUAGUGGAGCGUUCCACUGGAAAUUAAAAGGUCCCUGAUUCGAUAUCAGGAUCAGGAC